CAUAUUGUCAGCUGGACUCCCUCUGGCGCGAACCCAAGGGCACAAUGCCCAGGUAAGGCACUCCAACUGCGUUUGGAGGAGGGGAAAAUUAUCAUGCAGAAAAUUACGUUUGCAGAUUGCAUUACAAUUAAAACCAACCGCAGACAGCGAAGCGAUUAAAAUCCUGAACCCCGUCCAAGGGCGUGGAACCUCAGAUGUGAGACAGCUCGCAACAGCGCCCAAACAAAGGUGUUUGAACUUGGAACGUGGAUGUUCGUUUGGCAGGUUUUAAUGCCCAGUCCUGUUUAGGGUACCCCGCCCCUGCAGAGGCUUCUGUCGGUUUGGGACAGUACCCCAUCCAUGAAAAAGGUUCUGCCGGUUUGGGAGAGUACACACUGGCACCUCUGGCUCCCUCAGAGUGGCUAGAAAUGAUCUGAAAUGGUGAAUGUUGAGAGAGCUUCCAAUAGGGGCCGUGACAGCUUCAGAUCCAACAGGCUGACUACUUCAGCAGAGAAGGCCGCUGUCCUGAGGAUGAGAGGCUGGGCCAGGCAGCAGCCGGCUAGCUGAUCUGUAUUCAUUCGGCCGGGGCUUGGAGCCGAUUAGCGCCGCGCUUCGCUCGGGCUGGAGCGGAAUACGGCCUCCCAGCAGCGACGUUCUUAAACAAAGAGUGAGGAGAAAGCGCCUGAAGGUUGGCAGUUGGCGGGAUUACGAGAGGCUGAAUGGAUUUUUUAAAUCCCGCUUGACGUUAGCCGCGCUGGCCGCCGUGUCUACCUUGUCGCAGGACUCUCGCUCAUAGCCGAACGGUGGACUUUUUGUCUGUUGUAGAGAAAUCUACAGACAAAUACAGGUGCAGACAUGAAGAGGAUCAGAUUGAUUUGAGGGUGUAUUUUAGCAUCAACCUCCCGCCCCCCACCACAGCAGCA